UUCCAGCAUCUAUAGGUGAGCAAGGGGAAACGACUGACUAGGUCAGGCCUUAUUUGCAUUUCAACUGUGUGACAGUUUGGCAUGUUUUUUGUUAAAAUACAAACAACAUUUGAGUUUGGGGGCAAUAAUAUGCUAUUGUCCCUGUUUGGAAGUGAAAGGACAAGAGACCUGCACCAAAUGUGCCUGGGGUCAGAGGUCACCCUGACCACAUGUGUAGUCAGGCACAGUGGGGUAAGGGAGCCUGGACAGAGCUAGCAAGUGAGCCAACAAAGAAAAGCAUUUACACUAUUUGCUGGGAGUAUUUUUCAGGUCCAAGAAAUGGUGGAAGCUGGUGACAGACAUAUGAAAGCAAGCAGGUGAAAUAGACGCACACUGUGAGCCAAGUUGUGGCAGCAGGCAAUUUCAUGAUUGUUGGAGUGCUGAUUCAUGACUAUUGAAUGCGUGGGCCUGGCAACCUGGCUAUGAUCUGGGAAGACACUGAGGCAACCAAGAUGGAAGACCCAGCAUGACUCUAAGGCAGCCUUGUGAAGUUCUACUUCCCGUGUGUGAGUACAUUUUAUUUGACGCACAGGUUUCACCAUGGACAACAUUCUCCAGCUGUCCUGACCCACUAUGUCCCCUCCUCCCCACACCAACUGGCUGCAGGAGAAAGGGAGCUCGGAGUUCAGGGAGAAGACUAAAGGUUAAAACCCCCUACCCAAGCCAACUCUCAUUGGUCACUGCAUCUCACCCCUAUUUCCUUUCUGAAUAGUUGACAGGAGAGCAACACUUUGUCUCAAAUCAUCACAGACAGAAGCAUCUCGCCUCCAGCUGUGAUAUCCAGAAGAAACUGCUGUGUGGAACCCUGUGUAAUGAAUUGAUAGUAAUUGUAAUACAUCCUUCCGAGGGGAAGCAUCCCUAAUUAAUUAGGGCUAGAUGCUGAUGCCCUUGCUUAUGUUGAAUAUCAUUUUAUUCCAGCAGGAGCCCCUUUGAUUUCAGAAGGCCUGCUUGAGGAGUGAGGGAGGAUGGCUCCUAACUUUCUUUGAAGUCAGUGGAAGUUAGGACCUAAAAAAGUUUUGAGGAUCUGGGCCUUGGCUCUUAACUUACUAUUGUCGGAAGUUGUGAGAUCCUUGGAUAAGAGAUGCUCAGCCCUUAGACAGAUCAGAUUGAAAAUCUGAUAUUCCUUCUCAUCCAUAUCAGCAUGGAAAAGUGCUUGUUGGGCCUGUCAAAGAAACCGACAUGAGUCAUUUCUGAGGCAGCCCUGAAGAUAUGGAGCUAUUUCUUCUGCUAGUGUAAAUCCAUAGCUCGACUGAAGUUAAGCACUUCAGUCAGAUACUCUGGUGAUGGGUCCAGUACAAGAACCUGAACAGAAUACUCCUCACUUGGGUAAAAUGGACUUCCUACUAACCUCAAUGAGAUGUUUGCUUGAACGAGAAUUGAAUAAGAAUCUCUGCAUUUAGCCCAAUUACUUCAUUGGGUAGUUGCAGGUUCUCAGCAUCUCUUCAGAUUUGACCCCAUAACUUUAAUUAUUUGGAAUAGUUAAAUAAAAACCCCAUAAUAAUAAUAAUAAUAACAAUAAUAAUAAUUAUAUAUAUUUUAAAAAAUCUAAUUUUUGUUGGCCAUCCCUUACUAGGAAAACAAGGAAUGUUGGGCGGAGCCCUCUGCUGGCAUAACUCAUUGACUACAAUGUGUAUUUUGUCCAAGAGGUGUAUUUGCUACUGUUGGGGUAAGCCAGCUGAGAAUUUGGCCCACUGUCUAUAUGAGAUAUAAAUAUAGUGCAUCCUGAUAUGAUUAAAGAUCAAGAAAAGUGAAGUGAAGUGUGCACUGGUUAUAGGCAAAAGAAAAGUGUAGCGUCUCUGAUGUAAAAGAACAGCUGAUAUAGUAUGAUUGUCGGGGGGACCUGGAUAUACAGGACAGCUGCACAAAAGUUUACAACCUGAAAACUCAUCUGAAACUCAUUUCACAUAGAUCCAUUUGCAAGUGCAAUGAAAACAGACAGAGCCAUUGGCUUGUAUUAUAACAAGAAAGAAUGCACAAGUGGAAUUCUAGGCUGUUUUAUUUUGUGAUUAGUGCCAGAUUGCUACUGAGCACACUCUCUGUGAGCAUUACACCAUAGGUUUUCCACCACUGGUAAUUAUCUGAGGUUCUUUGUCUAUCUUGACAGGCAUCAAAAGAGAUAUUGAUACUGUAUGUAAAAUAUAACUACCAAAAUAUAUUCGCCCUACCCCACCUUUCCUUGUCAACUUUAGCUCUCCGCUCUG